rnacentral:rRNA from 1 species
GACGAACGCUGGCGGCGUGCUUAACACAUGCAAGUCGAACGGAAAGGCCCCUUUGGGGGUACUCGAGUGGCGAACGGGUGAGUAACACGUGAGUAACCUGCCCUUGACUUCGGGAUAACUUCAGGAAACUGGGGCUAAUACCGGAUAGGAAUCCUUGCUGCAUGGUGGGUGUUGGAAAGCUUCGGCGGUUUUGGAUGGACUCGCGGCUUAUCAGCUUGUUGGUGGGGUAGUGGCUUACCAAGGCUUUGACGGGUAGCCGGCCUGAGAGGGCGACCGGCCACAAUGGGACUGAGAUACGGCCCAGACUCCUACGGGAGGGAGCAGUGGGGAAUAUUGCACAAUGGGGGGAAGGCCGAUGCAGCAACGGCGCGGGCGGGAAGACGGGCUUCGGGUUGGAAACCGCUUUCAGCAGGGGCGAAGCUGGUGGUGACGGUACCUGCAGAAGAAGCACCGGCUAACUACGUG